rnacentral:lncRNA from 1 species
CUGCAGCGCAGCGACGGCCGGGGCCGGGAGCGGGUCCUGGGCGGCCCAGGAGAAGCAGUUCCCGCCGGCGCUGCUGAGUUUCUUCAUCUACAAUCCGCGCUUCAGGCUGCGCAAAGGAGAGGGGGAAAAUAAGAUUUUAUUUUAUCAUCCAAAUGAGGUAGAAAAAAUGAAAAGAUUAGAAAUGUCGGAUUGUGUGAAGCUAUUGUACAGUUUACAAGGACCUUUAGCCCAUCAAAACCUGCAAAAUCUUUACAUACACAGAAGAACAGACAGUUCUUCAAUGAACCAGAAGAAAAUUUCUGGAUGGUCAUGGUA